rnacentral:lncRNA from 1 species
CCACUUUAAAUGCUGGAGAAAACUCCAGCAGAUUGUCCUGUAAUCACUAUUGACAGCUUUAGGCAUAUGUAUGUGUUUGGAGACUUCGAAGAUGUAUUAAUUCCUGGAAAACUCAAGCAAUUUGUAUUUGACUUACAUUCUGGACAACUGCACAGAGAAUUCCAUCAUGGACCUGUCCCAACCGAUAUCGCCCCAGGAGAGCAAGACCAAGAUGUAGCAAGCUGUCCACCUGAGAGCUCCUUCCAGAAAUUAACACCCCGUGAAUAUAGGCAUACUAUAUUCAGGGAUCAAGAUGAGUUU